rnacentral:rRNA from 1 species
AUUGAACGCUGGCGGCAGGCUUAACACAUGCAAGUCGAGCGGAGAGAGGUAGCUUGCUACUGAUCUUAGCGGCGGACGGGUGAGUAAUGCUUAGGAAUCUGCCUAUUAGUGGGGGACAACAUUUCGAAAGGAAUGCUAAUACCGCAUACGUCCUACGGGAGAAAGCAGGGGAUCUUUGGACCUUGCGCUAAUAGAUGAGCCUAAGUCGGAUUAGCUAGUUGGUGGGGUAAAGGCCUACCAAGGCGACGAUCUGUAGCGGGUCUGAGAGGAUGAUCCGCCACACUGGGACUGAGACACGGCCCAGACUCCUACGGGAGGCAGCAGUGGGGAAUAUUGGACAAUGGGGGGAACCCUGAUCCAGCCAUGCCGCGUGUGUGAAGAAGGCCUUAUGGUUGUAAAGCACUUUAAGCGAGGAGGGGGCUACUUUAGUUAAUACCUAGAGAUAGUGGACGUUACUCGCAGAAUAAGCACCGGCUAACUCUGUGCCAGCCGCCGCGGUAA